rnacentral:lncRNA from 12 species
GUGCCAGACUUUGUGAGGAACAUGCACCAGAGACUUGUAUCCAAUGCAUCUCCAAAUGACAGGAUGUUAAUGGACAUCGUGAGGCUGGCUGAGGCACACCCUGCUGAUGUCGCAGUCACCCUCCUGCGCCGUGCCCCAUCAUGUGACAGGUAUGGGAGCCACCUUCCUUGUGGCCUCAGGGUUCACUAGCUUUCAGGGUCCAUCACCUUGUACAGCCAGUCCAGUGUGCUCUGAUAGGCACAAAGUUCCAGGACCCACCGGGCCCUCUGUUUCCCAGCUGUGGAACAUCAGCCACCCAGUGCGCUGCCCUGCUCCCUCCCUGCCCCUCCGGGCACCAGGGCUCUUUCACCUGGGCUCCCACAGCUGCCCAGGCCAUGGUGCUGUGGCUGAGAUCCUCCUGACACACAGAUCUGUCCCACAGAGCUGCUAGAAUCAUGUGGAGGACAAUAGCCUCAUCAGAAAUGGCACUGGAGAAAGUGCUGCCAACACUGCUCUGUGUGCUGGAGGACUGGCCCCUGCACAGAGUGUCCGCCUCCGAUGGGGACAAAACGAAAGUCUUUGCCCUGGCUGUGAGUUUCCGGAACUGGCCUUUGCUCACCCCAAGGCCGCCUCUCCAGCAGCUCUCCACCCUCCUUCCCCCACUGCAUCUCCCAGCCUCAGGUGCUGGGCUGAAUCCUGGCCUAGGGGCAGCUUCAGGGGCACCAGGCCCGGUGCUCCCCCUGCGUCUCCCCUGGGCUCUCCCUGCCACGCUCGGGCCCUGCCGCACGGACACCUCGGCACUGAGCGCUGACUCGGGCUGUUUGUCCUUUGCAGGCAACUGUGGUGGUUUGGGAGAUUCUCUGCCUGCCCUGGUGCCCAGCACCAUUUAUGGAAUAUUCCCCCCGCCUCCUGGUGGCUCUGCUCUUCCAAGUUUUUGUCAGCACAUUAGAUAUGCCAGAGGAGGUUAAUACCUUCUGGAAGGGAUACCAGGAGCAACUCAGCCUUCCCAUCAGCAUCAACAGGUUCGCAGUGCAGACCGUGAGGGCACUGUUCCGCCAUUUGCGGUGUCUGGAUUUACUGGUGGCAGUGGAACGCAAGUGUGGCUGGGACACGCUGCUCUGUGCUGCCACCCACCACUAUGCCAUGGGUCUGCUGGCCAGGGAGAUGCACCGUACCUCAAACCCCUUGUGUUCCUGCAUUGCGGAGAUUCGCCAUGUCUUGAUGCCCUUGUGUUCCCAUGUUGCGCUCCACCUACUCCAGCUGCUCAGCACACAGGAGCCACGCUGGGAUCUGCCUGCCCUGGCAUUCCUUGUGGAGGUCCUCGAGUGCCAUGACAUGAAGGAAUGGAGUGACAGUGCCCUGGAGAUCAUUUCAAGGCGCCUGCAGAGCAAAUCCAAGGAAAAGCGUCGCCUGGCACUCAGAGGCCUUGUGGUUCUUAGCAAGGAUCCCUCGCUGGCCGAAGGCAUCCGGAGUCUGACACAGAGCCUCAUGGGCCUACUGCAGGAUGCAGAUGGAGAGGUGGUUGCAUUGAUCCUCUCUGUAUUCCUGAAUGAGCUCGAGGACAGAGCCACUCUAAUAUCCAGUCCCACUGCCCUGCAGCUGGCUGAGGUGCUUCGGCAACUCUUUGACUACGACAACAGUCAUGUGCCUCUGCUCUCCAUUCGCCUCUUCCGAGCAGUGAUGGAGCUGGUAAUGGACAAGGGAAAAAAACCCCUGAAGAAACAUGUGAGCCAGAGCCUUCUCCCACUCUUCUUCCACUACCAUGACCAGAACUGGCAUGUGGCAGAGGCCUCUCGGGAAACGUUGCUUUGUGCGGCCAAGUUCCUGAAGAGAAGGCGUCUGAAGCAGCUGGUGAAGAAGGAAUCCACUGCCACGAUGAGAAUCCGCAUGUGGCAGAGGUGA